rnacentral:lncRNA from 1 species
GUGCCAUCUUGAAUUAGGCCCAUUGUUGGAGGAGAACCUAGCAUUGUUUGCUCAAUAUACCAAACUGCUUUAGUGGAAAAUAGACAUUGAAUAGUUCAGAGCCAUCUGUUGGAUUAUCGACUGUAUACGUGAGAUUUCAUUGGGAUUACCUUUUUGUAUUUUUUAUGCGAGUUUUCUUCCUUCAGAUUAUAGAGCCAUAUUUUGUUAACAAGCAAACGGCACGUUCGAGUGAUGCGAGCGCAUCCCGGUACCAACAAGCUCUGUAGCAGGAUAGCUAACGCUAAAGUUGGGACUUUGACAAACUCAACAGUGAGUGAGAAAUGGGUCAAUACUUCCUUGGAUUUGAACGUGGACUUCCUUUCAAAGACUGAACCAGAGGUUCUGGUAGGACUAAGGUAAGGUUGUGGGUUAUGCAAGCUUGUCACAAAGAGGAAUAGUAGAGUGAAAGAAAGAAAAAGCAGCACAGAUGAGGAGGAAGACACAACUUGACAUUAUCCGCAUGGCCUGAUGAUGGUCCGACUGAUGGUCCUCCACUAUUCUCCCUCUCAUCCCUCUGUCAUUGUGGAAGGGCCCAAACUAGACGAGCCAUGAUUUACCAUCUGAGGGAGGAGGUGAUCUACACAGCAGAUGUUUAGACGUUCUGACCAUUUUUUUUCUUCUUGAGCUGGGAGGGCAGAAAGGGGGUCUAAUUAGAAUUUAUGGAGUGAAUCUGCAGAGUUGCGUAUAAGCAACCGUUGAUCCUUCCUGAGGCCUGUGUUUGUCUGGAAGGUGAGCGAUAGCAGUUAGGAAUGUGUUGGCAAGGACAAGAAAAUAUAUGUAACUUAAUUAAUUUAGUACACACUGAGACACGGAUGUAUGACACACACACACACAGACACAGAACAAUGCCUUCCUCUUCCCCUUGCCCCACCCUCUCUGAGCAGGACAGUUUCUACUUCCUGUUUAAUAAUAGAAAAUUAGCCACAUUAAUUUCCCUCUUUCCCUUCCACAGGCUCUGGCCUUCAAAGCAAGCCUGUUUAUCAUUAACUUGGUCAUUUGGUAAUUUAAACAUAUUUCGACCCGAACAACAACCUUUCCCUCACCCCUAAACACCAACUCGUACACCAUACAGCUUAACAGUGCAAGUGGUCAAUUGGUCUUCAACUUUGUGCUCAGUCCUUUUGGAUGGCUGUGGAGUGGGGCUUUUGUUUGUCGAAAUGUGAGCAGAGAGC